GAGGCCGAAAUUUAGAUCUCCGAAAGAAUAAAUCCUCCCAAAUUUACCUUCAGACCUUAUCUUAUCCCCAAGUCUUCCUCGACCACCAUGCGCGCCGCCCCCAACCUAGGUCCUCGCCUGAACCAUGGCCGCCGCGGAGGCUGACCACCACUCGUCGCCGCCGGUGCUAGCUUCCUCCCCAACCAACACCCCCACGCCCGUGCCGCCAUCCACCCUUCCCUGGGCGCCCCCAAGCAGCGUCACCUCCGCACUCAGUUCCGUUCUCCCGCGACCUAGAUCUACUGCCGUCCUCCACCAGCCGGCUUCUCUUCCUCGAGCAGUCGCUUCAACCUCCAGGAGCUCCUCUCCUCCGGCAGCAACUUCUCCACGAGCAUCCUCUACACGCCAAGGUAAGCAAUCCUUUUCUGAACUUGUGUUGUGGACACUGGAACUAGAUUGCAGGAGUGACACCCAUCACAGCAGCACUCGCAGCAUGGUUAGAAUGCCAAUGAAUAAAAUUACGCACUUGUAAUUACGUUAUAUAGUUGUUAUGGCUGGCACUGCCAUUGCUUUUAGUUAGUACUUAAAAAUGUGUUGUUUAGAUGUUGUCUGUUCUAAUCUGUAGACAUCUGAAUCUUGCACUUGAUGUGAAGAUAUUAAGGAAAUUAUUUUCUGUAGAGUAGAGAUGUAGGAAAGUACUGUAGUUCACUUAGAAGUAGAGAUUUUUGAGAAGAAACUGAAUCAACUCUAGAUUUUUCUCUGUGAAACUUUGAAACAUGCUUUGCUACCUGAUGGUUAUCCAAGGAUCCAUGUAGCUUAUAUGAUUUGAUUUAACAUGGUUAUAACAUUGAUUUAGUUCUUCAAUUUGUAUGUUAUAUGUCGUGUAAUUGGUCCUCCUAUCCUUUGAGCAGCAUGCCUCCUAUUCGUCCUCUGUGCCAAGCAGUGCCAUUUCGAGUACAUCAUCUCCCCUGGAUAGCGCCUCAUCUAUGUCCUUGCCCCUCCCCUAGCACCACUUCCUCUACUUCUCAACUGAUGAUGAGAUUUAUUUGCUAUUUCUCUCAUUCAGCCCUUAGUAAUCUUGUAAUGGGCACUGAUAUGGUGUUGAAAAUUUCCUGAAAUGGCAUGAUUCAGUUCACUAUUCAGUUCACUGAUGUGCUCCUUGCUAUACUAUCUCUUAAUGCCUUCCCCUAAUCACAGAGCCCGUAAUUAGUACAUAUCAGGAAUAUGUUGUCUGUACACAUAAAUUUCUACUCUUGUACUGAUUGCAUCUUUUUUAUUGUAUGUUUUCCUGAUCUAUUUGAAGUGGAAUUGAAGUCUUAUUCUGCUUUACUGUUAAAUCUCAUGUAUGUACCAGAAUACCAUAUAUGGUUUAGUUUCUUAGAUCCAUUAACUUCACUUUUCAUGUGGAAACAAUUUUGCACAUCAAAACUAUGAUGCAACCCCUUCUGAUGUAAGAUACUCUUAAGCUUAUGAUUGCUGUCCGCGCUGUUGUAUAUUUAAAAACAUGAUUCAUAUAUGAUACUUUUUAAUUUGUUAUACUACACAUAAUAUCCCAGUUAUUGAAUUACACCAUCAAAAGUAUACUUUGUGCUCAUUUCUUACUAUAUUUUACGCUUAUGAGAACAGUUUAUUUUCAUAUUUUUUUGGAUGUUUUCACCAGGGAGGCACUUCAUUGUGUUGUUAAGUGAUCAAACUAGCCAUUUGUUUUUACUCCCUCCGUCCCAAAAUUCUUGUCUUAGAUUUGUCUAGAUACGGAUGUGGUAAGAAACAAUAUCAAUGUUGUAAUCUUUGUCUACUUGUGGUACAGAUUUUAUAGAAACAAUUGGAAACUAUAAUCAGGAUCAUGUAUACUUGCUUUCCAGUUAUCAUUUGAGCUUUGACCUAAGUCAGCAGAAUUCUUUUUUGUAACAUGGUUCUCAUCUCUGCACACAUGUUGUUUUCCUUCUAUGUUAAGAUUUUUUAAAACAAAAUACAUGGAUUGACAUAUGAUUUGUUAGCCUUGUUGUUUUUUGUAACAUGGUUCUCAUCUCUGCAAUAAGAUUGUUGUUUUGUUGCUGAUAAUUUGGAGGUUUUGGGUGCUUGUUGUUUAGGUUUUGCGUCAAGGACUCAAGGUUUGGUAUUAGUGCUUAUCUGGGUGGCAUAGUUUGUGAUGUUUUGAGGGUACCCCGAAUCUUAGACAUGUGGUUGAGUAUUAUCAGUCUCUAGUAAUGGAAAUGGGGAGAAAUGCUCCUAAAUCUUAAAAAUGGAAGAACAUGGGUCAUGAUGCUAGCUGAGUAUCGUGCUCUUUUCUCCUAGAUGUAAUUCUUGCAAACUGUUCUCUAAUUUUCACUUGGUGUUUUCACUGAAAUAAUCUUUUUGGGUUGUUUUUCCUGUGAUCUGUGUGCAUCUUAUUUGUCCUCUCUGCCAAGCAGCGUCUACAACGUCAUCUCCCCCAGGUAGUGCAUCGUCUACGUCCUUGGCUGCAAGUAGUGUCGCCUCGCCUCUACUUCCUCGUCCGAGCAGCACUGCCUACGUCAUCUGCCUCGUCGCUCGAGCAACACCACCUCCUCUACUUCUAGACAGACGAUAUUGUGACUUCACUUAGGAGAGGGGAUCUCAGAUUCCUUAAGCAAGCCCUUGAUAGACAUGAAGAUCCGUAACUUCACAUAUUUGUGUGCUGAAAAAUUUCAACCCUCCGAUGCAACUGAUUGCUUCCUACUUAUUUGUACGGGGACACUGAUUGCUUAUUUCUCUUGCAGGGUUAUAAAAUGUGGUGUCUACCUCGUUGGAGAAACUUGAACUCCAGCCAUAUCAUCGAGAGGGAGAAGGAAUCAUCUAAGGCGCAUCAAAUCGAGUUAGAGGUCUCUGCAUCCAUUUUAGAAGUUUUGCCAAAGGUGACCACGACAAACUUUUUAUCCUGAUACAAGCACAUUAUUUGAAUGAGAUGGCGUCUAUUGUUGGUGGCUUAUCCUGAUACACUAGUUGAUGGAGGAUUGGAUAAUCUACAAGCCGUUGAAGGUUUGCAAGACCUACAAUUAAGUUGGUGGAUUGGUAAUGUAAUGCGCCUUGUUUGUUGAACCUGGAAACAUUGACAAAUUCUGUUUGUUUUGGCACAUAGCCAUGUAUGCUCGUUUUUAGUGUGUGACACAUCUAGAAACAUAUGUACUUUUCCCUUUGUGGCACUAAUUCAUUUUGGUUGCGUGGCACAUCUAGAAACAUAUAUGUACUUCUCCUUUUGUGCCACAACCUGCUUAUACGUUUAUUGAAUGAAGUUCAAGGGUUUCGAUGA